rnacentral:rRNA from 1 species
GACGAACGCUGGCGGCGUGCUUAACACAUGCAAGUCGAACGGAAAGGCCCUGCUUUUGUGGGGUGCUCGAGUGGCGAACGGGUGAGUAACACGCGAGUAACCUGCCCUUGACAUUGGGAUAAAUCCACGAAACUGCGGCUAAUACCGGAUAGGAGCUCCUGCUGCAUGGGGGGGGCUGGAAAGUUUCGGCGGUUGGGGAUGGACUCGAGGCUUAUCAGCUUGUUGGUGGGGUAGUGACUUACCAAGGCUUUGACGGGUAGCCGGCCUGAGAGGGUGACCGGCGACAUUAGGACUAAGAUAAGGACAAGACUGCAAUGGGCGGCAGAGGUGGGAAAUAUUGCGCAAUGGGCGGAAGCAUGGUGCAGAGGCGCCGCGAGCGGGAAGCCGGCCUUCGGGUUGUGAACAGAUUUCGACUGUGAGGAGGCGUGAGUGACGGUAAUGGGUAAAAAAGCAACGGCUAACUACGUG